rnacentral:lncRNA from 1 species
AUUAGCUCCGCGCUGCAGACAUCAUUAGGAGUGGAGGGAGACGAUUCCACCGUCAGCGCAGGAACAGGAAGCCCUGGCAACAAGGAGAGACCGCUCUUACCAGACCAUUACACCGUACAGUAAGUCCUAGCUCUGUCUAUACUCUUAGUCUGUGUCAUUUUUUUUGUGUCACUUUUUUCUUUGCUAAGCGGUAGAGGUAGAGAAAAUGGCUGGAACUGGAAGGAAGGCGUACGCGCAAAGAGAGCGUUCGUUUAUUUCCAAAGCCUUUGAAAAUGUUUACUUCGCACUCUGACCUAUUUUAUUUGUGCCCGGAGCAUAGACGGUUGUUUGUGGUUUACAGUCAUGCACUUGUCAUUUCGAACAAAAAUGCAAACGAACUAUUAAGUUUGACACAAGAGCGCGGUGGUUUCGCGGACUUGAAAACGAGCAAGGAGUGUUUCACAGGCGGGUUGGUGUGUAGGACAGGCAAGCUAACUGCGCCACCCCAACCAGAAACAUUGCAUAAAGAAUAGUAAAAUACAUAUUUAUAGUAUAGCCUUCAACCGUCCACUUUUAAAAUGGUUGUGGUACGUGAGUAGCCUACGUGGCCGUAUGUCCACUCAUGCGACACAUUUUAGUUUCUAAUUCCAUCGCGGAAGUGUUUUAUAUUCUUCAAAAACAGGGCAAACCAACUAACCCUAGUCCACCUAAUGUAACCGGCGUCAUUAUACAAACACAUAGUACACGACAUGCCCUUUCAUUUGGGGGGGAGAAAAUGUUAUCUACUCGGUUAGGCUACAAUCGCUUUUCAUUGACGCUGGCUGGUUUGUAAAGGACAUUGGGUCUCCUGAAUGUGUCUAGUGAUUGCUCGACUACCCGUGGCGUGAUGUCACUCAUCCCAGCUUUGGUGGUUAUAUAACAGGACUGUAGGGAUCCCGGGUUGUGAUAGCGAGGUAUUUAUACUCUGUUUACAGUCAGGAAUUGCACAAUGCAUAGUAAGAUUGGCAUAGUAAAACCUGUCUUCCCAAGAGGAUAGGCUACAGACUGCUACAUGCCACCACCACUACACUGUUAUUACAUGCUUACAUUUGAUCCAGUAUCUACAAACGAAGGUGGUUGGUCAAAGAGUGUUUCAAUGUUGCCGAAAUAAAAAAACAUUAUGCUGUAAAAUGUUACAGUAACUUUGCAAUGAAGGACACUUGAUACUGCGAAAUUAUUUUUCAACAACAUGCAAGCCUGCAGUAAAACAAGAAUACACGUUGUCGUACUUUAGCGUACACCAGCUUGCUUAUGAGCAUAAUAAUGCAUAUUAAAAAAAACAUGUCUGGAGGCCGUUUUGCAAUGCAGUAACAUGACAAGAGGUGAAGUAUUUGUUGCACCUCUGUAUCCAAUAAAAAAAUGAAGAUUGGUUGGAUCACAAUUAUAAUCACAAUCUUGAUGAUCUUAUUUGUUGUGAAAUUGACUGAUAUUACUUGUUAGAUAUUACUUGACAGAUAUUACUUGUUAGAUAUUACUUGUUAGAUAUUACUUGACAGAUAUUACUUGUUAGAUAUUACUUGUUAGAUAUUACUUGACAGAUAUUACUUGAUAGAUAUUACUUGAUAGAUAUUACUUGACAGAUAUUACUUGUUAGAUAUUACUUGAUAGAUAUUACUUGAUAGAUACUGCUGCACUGUCGGAACUAGAAGCACAAGCAUUUCGCUACACUCGCAAUAACAUCUGCUAACCAUGUGUAUGUGACCAAUUUGAUUUGAUUUGAUUUUGAUGAUAAUAUAUCAUGUUUCAUCUCAAUACCUGAUAGGCCUAUGUGUUGUUUAUGUAUGCUAAUAUUUUUCAUUAUGUUGUUGCACAUACAGAGGCUUACCAUUGUUCAGUGUAUACAGUUCUCUGUACUCUGUACUGUGGAUGGCUGCUGCUAUGGAGUUGACAUUUAGACUAGGUUGUCAUUUCACCACAGAGCUUCUGUAUAUAACCUGUGUAUAUAACCUUGCCCAUUUAAACCUGUACUCUGCAGGCCACGGAACCACAUUGUUUAUUUAUGUACCUUGUCUUCUUGGUAGUGUAGUAUGAGGUGGGUAGGUUUGUGGCGGCUGAUUGACCAGUGAUAGUGUAGUAUGAGGUGGGUAGGUUUGUGGCGGCUGAUUGACCAGUGAUAGUGUAGUAUGAGGUGGGUAAGUUUGUGGCGGCUGAUUGACCAGUGAUAGUGUAGUAUGAGGUGGGUAAGUUUGUGGCGGCUGAUUGACCAGUGAUAGUGUAGUAUGAGGUGGGUAAGUUUGUGGCGGCUGACCAGUGAUAGUGUAGUUUGAGGUGGGUAGGUUUGUAGCGGCUGAUCAGUGAUAGUGUAGUUUGAGGUGGGUAGGUUUGUGGUGGCUGAUCAGUGAUAGUGUAGUAUGAGGUGGGUAGGUUUGUGGCAGCUGGCUGACCAAUGAUAGUGUAGUUUGAGGUGGGUAGGUUUGUGGCGGCUGAUCAGUGAUAGUGUAGUUUGAGGUGGGUAGGUUUGUGGCUGCUGUUUGACCAGUGAUAGUGUAGUUUGAGGUGGGUAGGUUUGGGGCGGCAGGCUGACCAGUGAUAGUGUAGUUUGAGUUGGGUGGGUUUGUGGUGGCUGGCUGGCUGACCAGUGAUAGUGUAGUUUGAGGAGGGUAGGUUUGUGGCGGCUGGCUGACCAGUGAUAGUGUAGUUUGAGGUGGGUAGGUUUGUGGCGGCUGACUGACCAGUGAUAGUGUAGUUUGAGUUGGGUAGGUUUGUGGCGGCUGACCAGUGACAGUGUAGUUUGAGGUGGGUAGGUUUGUGGCGGCUGAUUGACCAGUGAUAGUGUAGUUUGAAGUGGUUAGGUUUGUGGCUGCUGACUGACCAGUGAUAGUGUAGUAUGAGGUGGGUAGGUUUGCGACAGCUGACCAGUGAUAGUUUAGUAUGAGGUGGGUAGGUUUGUGGUGGCUGGCCAAUGAUAGUGUAGUUUGAGGUGGGUAGGUUUGUGGCGGCUGACUGACCAGUGAUAGUGUAGUUUGAGGUGGGUAGGUUUGUGGCGGCUGACCAGUGAUAGUGUAGUAUGAGGUGGGUAGGUUUGUUGCGGCUGACCAAUGAUAGUGUAGUUUGAGGUGGGUAGGUUUGUGGCGGCUGAUUGACCAGUGAUAGUGUAGUUUGAGGUGGGUAGGUUUGUGGCGGCUGACUGACCAGUGAUAGUGUAGUAUGAGGUGGGUAGGUUUGUGGCGGCUGAUUGACCAGUGAUAGUGUAGUAUGAGGUGGGUAGGUGUGUGGCGGCUGGCUGACCAGUGAUAGUGUAGUUUGAGGUGGGUAGGUUUGUGGCUGCUGACCAGUGAUAGUGUAGUUUGAGGUGGGUAGGUUUGUGGCGGCUGAUUGACCAGUGAUAGUGUAGUUUGAAGUGGGUAGGUUUGUGGCGGCUGGCUGACCAGUGAUAGUGUAGUUUGAGGUGGGUAGGUUUGUGGCGGCUGGCUGACCAGUGAUAGUGUAGUAUGAGGUAGGUAGGUUUGUGGCGGCUGAUUGACCAGUGAUAGUGUAGUUUGAAGUGGUUAGGUUUGUGGCGGCUGGCUGACCAGUGAUAGUGUAGUAUGAGAUGGGUAGGUUUGUGGCGGCUGACCAAUGAUAGUGUAGUAUGAGGUGGGUAGGUUUGUGGCGGCUGAUUGACCAGUGAUAGUGUAGUAUGAGGUGGGUAGGUGUGUGGCGGCUUGCUGACCAGUGAUAGUGUAGUUUGAGGUGGGUAGGUUUGUGGCGGCUGACUGACCAGUGAAGUGUAGUUUGAGGUGGGUAGGUGUGGGGCAGCUGGCUGACCAGUGAUAGUGUAGUAUGAGGUGGGUAGGUUUGUGGCGGCUGACCAAUGAUAGUGUAGUAUGAGGUGGGUAGGUUUGUGGCGGCUGAUUGACCAGUGAUAGUGUAGUAUGAGGUGGGUAGGUGUGUGGCGGCUUGCUGACCAGUGAUAGUGUAGUUUGAGGUGGAUAGGUUUGUUGCUGCUGACCAGUGAUAGUGUAGUUUGAGGUGGGUAGGUUUGUGGCGGCUGAUUGACCAGUGAUAGUGUAGUUUGAAGUGGGUAGGUUUGUGGCAGCUGACUGACCAGUGAUAGUGUAGUAUGAGGUGGGUAGGUUUGUGGCGGCUGACCAGAAAUAGUGUAGUAUGAGGUGGGUAGGUUUGUUGCGGCUGACCAAUGAUAGUGUAGUUUGAGGUGGGUAGGUUUGUGGCGGCUGACCAGUGAUAGUGUAGUAUGAGGUGGGUAGGUUUGUGGCGGCUGGCUGACCAGUGAUAGUGUAGUUUGAAGUGGGUAGGUUUGUGGCAGCUGACUGACCAGUGAUAGUGUAGUAUGAGGUGGGUAGGUUUGUGGCGGCUGACCAGAAAUAGUGUAGUAUGAGGUGGGUAGGUUUGUGGCGGCUGAUUGACCAGUGAUAGUGUAGAAUGAGGUGGGUAGGUGUGUGGCAGCUGUGCAACCAGUGAUAGUGUAGUUUGAGGUGGGUAGGUGUGUGGCGGCUUGGCAACCAGUGAUAGUGUAGUAUGAGAUGGGUAGGUUUGUGGCGGCUUACCAAUGAUAGUGUAGUAUGAGGUGGGUAGGUUUGUGGCGGCUUAUCAGUGAUAGUGUUAUAUGAGGUGGGUAGGUUUGUGGCGGCUGACUGACCAGUGAAGUGUAGUUUGAGGUGGGUAGGUGUGUGGCAGCUGGCUGACCAGUGAUAGUGUAGUAUGAGGUGGGUAGGUUUGUGGCGACUGACCAAUGAUAGUGUAGUAUGAGGUGGGUAGGUUUGUGGCGGCUGGCUGACCAGUGAUAGUGUAGUUUGAGGUGGGUAGGUUUGUGGCGGCUGGCUGACCAGUGAUAGUGUAGUUUGAGGUGGGUAGGUUUGUGGCGGCUGGCUGACCAGUGAUUGUGUAGUUUGGGGUGGGUAGGUUUGUGGCGGCUGGCUGAACAGUGAUAGUAUAGUUUGAGGUUGGUUGUUUUGUAGCGGCUGGCUGACCAGUUAUAGUGUAGUUUGAAGUGGGUGGGUUUGUGGCGGCUGACCAAUGAUAGUGUAGUAUGAGGUGGGUAGGUUUGUGGCAGCUGGCUGACGAGUGAUAGUGUAGUUUGAGGUGGGUAGGUUUGUGGCGGCUAACCAGUGAUAGUGUAGUAUGAGGUGGGUAGGUUUGUGGCGGCUGACCAAUGAUAGUGUAGUAUGAGGUGGGUAGGUUUGUGGCAGCUGGCUGACCAGUGAUAGUGUAGUUUGAGGUGGGUAGGUUUGUGGUGGCUGACCAGUGAUAGUGUAGUUUGAGGUGGGUAGAUUUGUGGCGGCUGACCAGUGAUAGUGUAGUUUGAGGUGGGUAAGUUUCUGGCGGCUGACUGACCAGUGAUAGUGUAGUAUGAGGUGGGUAGGUUUGUGGCGGCUGGCUGACCAUUGAUAGUGUAGUUUGAGGUGGGUAGGUUUGUGGCGGCUGACCAGUGAUAGUGUAGUUUGAGGUGGGUAGGUUUGUGGCGGCUGAUUGACCAGUGAUAGUGUAGUUUGAGGUGGGUGUGUUUGUGGAGGCUGACUGACCAGUGAUAGUGUAGUAUGAGGUGGGUAGGUUUGUGGCGGCUGACCAAUGAUAGUGUAGUAUGAGGUGGGUAGGUUUGUGGCAGCUGGCUGACCAGUGAUAGUGUAGUUUGAGGUGGGUAGGUUUGUGGCGGCUGACCAAUGAUAGUGUAGUUUGAGGUGGGUAGGUUUGUGGCGGCUGAUUGACCAGUGAUCGUGUAGUAUGAGGUGGGUAGGUUUGUGGCGGCUGACUGACCACAAAUAGUGUACUUUGUGGUGGGUAUGUUUGUGGCGGCUGACCAGUGAUAGUGUAGUUAGAGGUGGGUAGGUUUGUGCCCGCUGACCAGUGGUAGUGUAGUUUGAGGUGGGUAGGUUUGUGCCCGCUGACCAGUGAUAGUGUAGUUUGAGGUGAGUAGGUUUGUGGCGGCUGACCAAUGAUAGUGUAGUUUGAGGUGGAUAGGUUUGUGGCGGCUGAUUGACCAGUGAUAGUGUAGUAUGAGGUGGGUAGGUUUGUGGCGGCUGGCUGAACAGUGAUAGUAUAGUUUGAGGUUGGUUGUUUUGUAGCGGCUGGCUGACCAGUUAUAGUGUAGUUUAAGGUGGGUAGGUUUGUGGCGGCUGAUUGACCAGUGAUAGUGUAGUUUGAGGUGGGUAGGUUUGUGGCGGCUGAUUGACCAGUGAUAGUGUAGUUUGAGGUGGGUAGGUUUGUGGCGGCUGACUGAUCAGUGAUAGUGUAGUAUGAGGUGGGUAGGUUUGUGGCGGCUGACCAAUGAUAGUGUAGUAUGAGGUGGGUAGGUUUGUGGCAGCUGGCUGACCAGUGAAGUGUAGUUUGAGGUGGGUAGGUUUGUGGCAGCUGGCUGACCAGUGAUAGUGUAGUUUGAGGUGGGAAGGUUUGUGGCGGCUGACUGACCAGUGAUAGUGUAGUUUGAGGUGGGUAGGAUUGUGGUGGCUGACCAGUGAUAGUGUAGUUUGAGGUGGGUAGAUUUAUGGCGGCUGACCAGUGAUAGUGUAUUAUGAGGUGGGUAGGUUUGUGGCGGCUGAUUGACCAGUGAUAGUGUAGUAUGAGGUGGGUAGAUUUGUGGCGGCUGACCAAUGAUAGUGUAGUUUGAGGUGGGUAAGUUUGUGGCGGCUGACCAAUGAUAGUGUAGUUUGAGGUGGGUAGGUUUGUGGCGGCUGAUUGACCAGUGAUAGUGUAGUAUGAGGUGGGUAGAUUUGUGGCGGCUGACCAAUGAUAGUGUAGUUUGAGGUGGGUAGGUUUGUGGCGGCUGACCAGUGAUAGUGUAGUUUGAGGUGGGUAGGUUUGUGGCGGCUGAUUGACCAGUGAUAGUGUAGUUUGAGGUGGGUGUGUUUGUGGAGGCUGACUGACCAGUGAUAGUGUAGUAUGAAGUGGGUAGGUUUGUGGCGGCUGACCAAUGAUAGUGUAGUAUGAGGUGGGUAGCUUUGUGGCAGCUGGCUGACCAGUGAUAGUGUAGUUUGAGGUGGGUAGGUUUGUGGCGGCUGACCAAUGAUAGUGUAGUUUGAGGUGGGUAGGUUUGUGGCGGCUGAUUGACCAGUGAUAGUGUAGUAUGAGGUGGGUAGGUUUGUGGCGGCUGACUGACCACAAAUAGUGUACUUUGUGGUGGGUAUGUUUGUGGCGGCUGACCAGUGAUAGUGUAGUAUGAGGUGGGUAGGUUUGUGCCCGCUGACCAGUGGUAGUGUAGUUUGAGGUGGGUAGGUUUGUGCCCGCUGACCAGUGAUAGUGUAGUUUGAGGUGGGUAUGUUUGUGGCGGCUGACUAACCAGUGGUAGUGUAGUUUGAGGUGGGUAGUUUUCUGGCGGCUGACUGACCAGUGGUAGUGUAGUUUGAGGUGGGUAGGUUUGUGGCCGCUGGCUGACCAGUUAGUGUGGAGUGCUUCAGGGCACCACAGGUUUAAACUGCAUGGUCUCUACCAGUUCAGUUCACCUGAUGGUGGUGAAUCCCUCUAUAGCACAUAUUACCACUCUUCUAUUUUAGAUAUAAAAUUGAACCUUUAUUUAACUAGGCAAGUCAGUUAAGAACAAACUCUUAUUUACAAUGACGGCCUAACCCGGCCGAUGCUGGGACAAAUUGUGCGCCGCCGUAUGGGACUCCCAAUCACGACCUGUUGUGAUACAGCCUGGAAUCGAGCCAUGGUCUGUAGUGACACCUCUAGCACUGAGAGACAGUGCCUUAGACUGCUGCUCCACUCAGGAGAUAUGUGAAUGAUGCAGGCUAGGGGUACGUUCAUUCGUCCAAAUGUUUGAGAUGUUUUCAAAACCUAUUUUCAAUCUGAAUGGUAGAAGACAAAUAGUGCCAUGAUUAUUUCCUGACCAUGUCACCUGACCAGGGACAAACUCCUAGCCCCUAGCUAGUUAUUACCCAUUAACUACAAUUUGUGGCCAGAGUUUUUCCUGGUCAGAUGACAUGGUCAGCAGGAAAAACUCAGCAUCAUUAUUUCAGCAACCAUAACGUCUUCUCUAAAAACCUUUCAAAAUGUUUCUUCCAACGGGGAGCUAAUGAACGCGACCCUAUCCGUUGUGCAGGGAUCUAAUCAUGUGACGGGGAAUUAGGGGGCUGCCAUUUCUCCCUGCACUUCCCUUUGAUCCUGUCCGCCACACACACACACACACACACACACACACACACACACACACACACACACACACACACACACACACACGUAUGCACAGCAUCUCCAACUCACACAUUUAUGCUACCGUGCAUGUGUGCAAAAUGAAGAAAAACGUGAUACACCUUGCCUUUAAAGUGAGGGCUGGGUUUUGAAGUGCCCGGUCUUGCCCUGACUUCCGGAGAUAUUUCCAGGUAUUGUCUGGGUAGGCUAGUCUUUCAUGGUUGACUGAGAGAGUGAUAUAAGAUGAGCCACACCCCUAUACCUGCAGAAAGAAACAGGCUGUGUGUGUGUGUGUGUGUGUGUGUGUGUGUGUGUGUGUGUGUGUGUGUGUGUGUGUGUGUGUGUGUGUGUGUGUGUGUGUGUGCGUGUGUGUCUGUGAGUGUGUGUGUGUGUGUGUGUGUGUGUGUGUGUGUGAAUGUGAUUCUACUCUGAGCAAAACAAGGGGACGAACCCAGUCAAUGACCAAUGAUUGGCAGUCUCUUCAAAAUAUGUGUGUGUACAUGUGUGUUUACAUAGAAGAUGGGCAGUACCCACACACACUGCUUGGCUUCCACUUUCACUUGCAGCUAGAGCAGGGUCCAAGGGUAGAUAGACAGUAGGGCUAGUUAGACCUCACGACAUGAUAUUAUCAGCAUACUUAGGUGCCGAUUCUAUAUGUACUGCGAUUCUCACUAUUCUCCUGAUUCUAUAUGUACU